GGUUAAGCGACUAAGCGUACACGGUGGAUGCCCUGGCAGUCAGAGGCGAUGAAGGACGUGCUAAUCUGCGAUAAGCGUCGGUAAGGUGAUAUGAACCGUUAUAACCGGCGAUUUCCGAAUGGGGAAACCCAGUGUGUUUCGACACACUAUCAUUAACUGAAUCCAUAGGUUAAUGAGGCGAACCGGGGGAACUGAAACAUCUAAGUACCCCGAGGAAAAGAAAUCAACCGAGAUUCCCCCAGUAGCGGCGAGCGAACGGGGAGCAGCCCAGAGCCUGAAUCAGUGUGUGUGUUAGUGGAAGCGUCUGGAAAGGCGCGCGAUACAGGGUGACAGCCCCGUACACAAAAAUGCACAUGCUGUGAGCUCGAUGAGUAGGGCGGGACACGUGGUAUCCUGUCUGAAUAUGGGGGGACCAUCCUCCAAGGCUAAAUACUCCUGACUGACCGAUAGUGAACCAGUACCGUGAGGGAAAGGCGAAAAGAACCCCGGCGAGGGGAGUGAAAAAGAACCUGAAACCGUGUACGUACAAGCAGUGGGAGCACGCUUAGGCGUGUGACUGCGUACCUUUGUAUAAUGGGUCAGCGACUUAUAUUCUGUAGCAAGGUUAACCGAAUAGGGAGCCGAAGGGAAACCGAGUCUUAACUGGGCGUUAAGUUGCAGGGUAUAGACCCGAAACCCGGUGAUCUAGCCAUGGGCAGGUUGAAGGUUGGGUAACACUAACUGGAGGACCGAACCGACUAAUGUUGAAAAAUUAGCGGAUGACUUGUGGCUGGGGGUGAAAGGCCAAUCAAACCGGGAGAUAGCUGGUUCUCCCCGAAAGCUAUUUAGGUAGCGCCUCGUGAAUUCAUCUCCGGGGGUAGAGCACUGUUUCGGCAAGGCCGUCAUCCCGACUUACCAACCCGAUGCAAACUGCGAAUACCGGAGAAUGUUAUCACGGGAGACACACGGCGGGUGCUAACGUCCGUCGUGAAGAGGGAAACAACCCAGACCGCCAGCUAAGGUCCCAAAGUCAUGGUUAAGUGGGAAACGAUGUGGGAAGGCCCAGACAGCCAGGAUGUUGGCUUAGAAGCAGCCAUCAUUUAAAGAAAGCGUAAUAGCUCACUGGUCGAGUCGGCCUGCGCGGAAGAUGUAACGGGGCUAAACCAUGCACCGAAGCUGCGGCAGCGACACUAUGUGUUGUUGAGUAGGGGAGCGUUCUGUAAGCCUGUGAAGGUGUGCUGUGAGGCAUGCUGGAGGUAUCAGAAGUGCGAAUGCUGACAUAAGUAACGAUAAAGCGGGUGAAAAGCCCGCUCGCCGGAAGACCAAGGGUUCCUGUCCAACGUUAAUCGGGGCAGGGUGAGUCGACCCCUAAGGCGAGGCCGAAAGGCGUAGUCGAUGGGAAACAGGUUAAUAUUCCUGUACUUGGUGUUACUGCGAAGGGGGGACGGAGAAGGCUAUGUUGGCCGGGCGACGGUUGUCCCGGUUUAAGCGUGUAGGCUGGUUUUCCAGGCAAAUCCGGAAAAUCAAGGCUGAGGCGUGAUGACGAGGCACUACGGUGCUGAAGCAACAAAUGCCCUGCUUCCAGGAAAAGCCUCUAAGCAUCAGGUAACAUCAAAUCGUACCCCAAACCGACACAGGUGGUCAGGUAGAGAAUACCAAGGCGCUUGAGAGAACUCGGGUGAAGGAACUAGGCAAAAUGGUGCCGUAACUUCGGGAGAAGGCACGCUGAUAUGUAGGUGAAGCGACUUGCUCGUGGAGCUGAAAUCAGUCGAAGAUACCAGCUGGCUGCAACUGUUUAUUAAAAACACAGCACUGUGCAAACACGAAAGUGGACGUAUACGGUGUGACGCCUGCCCGGUGCCGGAAGGUUAAUUGAUGGGGUUAGCGCAAGCGAAGCUCUUGAUCGAAGCCCCGGUAAACGGCGGCCGUAACUAUAACGGUCCUAAGGUAGCGAAAUUCCUUGUCGGGUAAGUUCCGACCUGCACGAAUGGCGUAAUGAUGGCCAGGCUGUCUCCACCCGAGACUCAGUGAAAUUGAACUCGCUGUGAAGAUGCAGUGUACCCGCGGCAAGACGGAAAGACCCCGUGAACCUUUACUAUAGCUUGACACUGAACAUUGAGCCUUGAUGUGUAGGAUAGGUGGGAGGCUUAGAAGUGUGGACGCCAGUCUGCAUGGAGCCGACCUUGAAAUACCACCCUUUAAUGUUUGAUGUUCUAACGUUGACCCGUAAUCCGGGUUGCGGACAGUGUCUGGUGGGUAGUUUGACUGGGGCGGUCUCCUCCUAAAGAGUAACGGAGGAGCACGAAGGUUGGCUAAUCCUGGUCGGACAUCAGGAGGUUAGUGCAAUGGCAUAAGCCAGCUUGACUGCGAGCGUGACGGCGCGAGCAGGUGCGAAAGCAGGUCAUAGUGAUCCGGUGGUUCUGAAUGGAAGGGCCAUCGCUCAACGGAUAAAAGGUACUCCGGGGAUAACAGGCUGAUACCGCCCAAGAGUUCAUAUCGACGGCGGUGUUUGGCACCUCGAUGUCGGCUCAUCACAUCCUGGGGCUGAAGUAGGUCCCAAGGGUAUGGCUGUUCGCCAUUUAAAGUGGUACGCGAGCUGGGUUUAGAACGUCGUGAGACAGUUCGGUCCCUAUCUGCCGUGGGCGCUGGAGAACUGAGGGGGCUGGUCCUGGUAGGAGAGGACCGGAGUGGACGCAUCACUGGUGUUCGGGUUGUCAUGCCAAUGGCACUGCCCGGUAGCUAAAUGCGGAAGAGAUAAGUGCUGAAAGCAUCUAAGCACGAAACUUGCCCCGAGAUGAGUUCUCCCUGACUCCUUGAGAGUCCUGAAGGAACGUUGAAGACGACGACGUUGAUAGGCCGGGUGUGUAAGCGCAGCGAUGCGUUGAGCUAACCGGUACUAAUGAACCGUGAGGCUUAACCUU
rnacentral:rRNA from 1 species